rnacentral:tRNA from 1 species
GCCGAGAUGACAGAAUGGCCAUGUAACCGGCUGCAGAACUGGUCUGCUGAUUCCAGAUGACGUGCAUAGACCGGUGUAUAGGGGUUCAAAUCCCCUUCUCGGCU